rnacentral:rRNA from 1 species
AGUGAACGCUGGCGGCGUGCUUAACACAUGCAAGUCGAACGAGAACGGUACUAGCUUGCUAGUAUGUCAGCUAAGUGGCGGACGGGUGAGUAAUGUAUAGUUAAUCUGCCCUUUAGAGGGGGAUAACAGUUGGAAACGACUGCUAAUACCCCAUACUCCUUCUAUCUUAAUGAUAGUUGGGAAACGUUUUUUCGCUAAAGGAUGAGACUAUAUGGUAUCAGGUAGUUGGUGGGGUAAGAGCCUACCAAGCCAAUGACGCCUAGCUGGUCUGAGAGGAUGAUCAGCCACACUGGAACUGAGACACGGUCCAGACUCCUACGGGAGGCAGCAGUGGGGAAUAUUGCACAAUGGAGGAAACUCUGAUGCAGCAACGCCGCGUGGAGGAUGACGCAUUUCGGUGUGUAAACUCCUUUUAUAUGGGAAGAUAAUGACGGUACCAUAUGAAUAAGCACCGGCUAACUCCG